rnacentral:rRNA from 1 species
UAUAACGACUCUCGCGCAUCGAUGGAGAACGCAGCGAAAUGCGAUACGUGGUGUGAAUUGCAGAAUCCCGUGAACCAUCGAGUCUUUGAACGCAAGUUGUGCCCGAAACCAUCCGGUGGAGGGCACGUCUGCCUGGGCGUCACACAUC